UCCAGACUCACAUAUGAAACUUCAGGAUCAACAUUUCCAUUUGAGUGUCUAGAGGGCAUCUCAAACAUAAUCUCCUGUCUUCUCAACUACAGAUUGGGUUGAGCAGAACACAGAUAAUACAGAAGUACAUUUUUUUUCCAGAUUAAACUAGGGACCAAGCUAAGGUGUGACUCAUCUGACAUAAUCUUCUAAACAAUUUAGCAUACGGGUACGUACUUACCUAGGCCGUAAUACCUGUAUUUUCUUCUCUUUCGUUCUUUCUUUCUUUUCUUUGUUUUGAGACAGGCUCUCACUCUUAUCAUCUAGGAGUGGUGCGAUCUCAGCUCACUGCAGCCUCGACAUCAAGUCAAG
rnacentral:lncRNA from 10 species